rnacentral:tRNA from 1 species
GGGGUUGUGGCUCAGUGGUAGAGUGUUCGCCUAGCAUGUGUGAACCCCUGGGUUCAAUCCUCAGCACCACA